rnacentral:rRNA from 1 species
CCUACGGGGGGCUGCAGUGGGGAAUCUUGCGCAAUGGGCGAAAGCCUGACGCAGCGACGCCGCGUGAGCGAAGAAGGCCUUCGGGUCGUAAAGCUCAGUCAUUGGGGAUGAGAUGACAGUACCCAAGGAGGAAGCCCCGGCUAACUACGUGCCAGCAGCCGCGGUAAUACGUAGGGGGCGAGCGUUGUCCGGAAUUACUGGGUGUAAAGGGCGUGUAGGCGGGGGUGCAAGUUACCGGUAAAAACCCAGGGCUCAACUCUGGGCUUGCCGGUAAAACUGCAUCUCUUGAGUGUAGGAGAGGGAAGUGGAAUUCCCGGAGUAGCGGUGAAAUGCGUAGAUACCGGGAGGAACACCAGUGGCGAAGGCGGCUUCCUGGCCUACAACUGACGCUGAGGCGCGAAAGCUAGGGUAGCGAACGGGAUUAGAUACCCCAGUAGUC